rnacentral:rRNA from 1 species
AUUGAACGCUGGCGGCAGGCCUAACACAUGCAAGUCGAACGAGUGGCGGACGGGAGAGUUAUAUCUGGGAAACUGCCCGACGGAGGGGGAUAACUAGUGGAAACGGUAGAUAAUCCCGCAUACCAUCGGAUGUGCCCAGAUGGGAUUCGCUAGUAGGUGGGGUAACGGCUCACCUAGGCGACGCUCCCUAGCUGGUCUGAGAGGAUGACCAGCCACACUGGAACUGAGACAAGGUCCAGACUCCUACGGGAGGCAGCAGUGGGGAAUAUUGCACAAUGGGCGCAAGCCUGAUGCAGCCAUGCCGCGUGUAUGAAGAAGGCCUUCGGGUUGUAAAGUACUUUCAGCGAGGAGGCGUUACUCGCAGAAGAAGCACCGGCUAACUCCGGGCCAGCAGCCGCGGUAAUUC